CACUUCCCUCAUUUCCUUUAUCAUAUUCUCUUCCUGAAGUCUGAUAUGGUGAUCAAAUUCUUCUUUCUGCCGAUCAAUCUCAGCCUUGACACUGUCACCUAGAGACAACAUAAUGGGGAGCGCAGCUGUCUUCUGAUCACUUGCAUAUUUGACAGAAGGGUUGCAUUCUUCUUCCUCACAGGAAACGUUCAGUCCAAUUGAAA
rnacentral:misc_RNA from 1 species